GGUUCUGUGAGGAAAACAUAAUAAAGAUAUCAGAGCUUUGGUGAUAAUUAUACUUAAAUGUCGGAUCAGUUCUCUUUAAGACGCACUGAUUAUUUUCCUGUGCUCUUAGCUAAACAUAUUAGCGGUCCUUUCCCUCUAAACCUUGAGUUCCUCCAACUAUGAGUUAUCUCACUUUUUCCAAGGGUUGGAUAAUUCUGUUUUGAGUAUUCUUACCAGAAUUUUGUAUUAUAGCCAAGUAGUUUUUGUAAGCUAUGUCCUAAAAUAGGCCUGAAAGAGGGAAAGGUAACUUUGUAGGCUGAUUUAACAUUCUAUUUAAUAAUGUAUUUUCAAGAAAAUUUUAAUGCAUUAAACAAUAGAGAAACAUACAUUAAACGUCAUGGAAUACGCAAGUACUAUUUUUUUUCUCCAGUCUCACCCCCACAUUUUCUGUUUUCCUAGUGGUAGCCAUUACAACCACUCAGUCAACAAGUGUUUGUUGAAGACUACUAAAAGAAUAAGAAAUAGAGCUUGUAAGUAGAGCACUGACUGUUUAUGUUAAUGCCAGUAGGUCAGCGCUGGGAACCAACACCCUGUAAUUUUCAUGAUCAAACCUCCUCCAAUGUAUAGAACUAUGAAAGGGUAUUUCUCUCCUUAUCUGCCAUUAUGCUCUUUACUCCAGACUGAACUUAAUCUCAGCACGCGUAUCUCCGUUUCCAUCCUAGCGGAUUGAAUUACUGGAGGAUCUUCUCGGAAGAUUCGUUCAUUUCUUUGUUCAACAAAUAAUUGUCUACUAAUUCCCAGGCAUUUGUGGGCAUCUGUUCUCUGUGCUGCACUAAGGACAUGGGGGAGAAGCCACCGGCCCUGUUCUCUAGGAGCUCGUAGUCUAAUGGGAGGAAUAAAUAAGCGGAAACUUUGAACGAGGGGUCCUAGUGGAAUUGGCGUUGAGACUGACAAGAAUGGGGCAGAUUGUGCCAGGUAAGGGGCGAGGAAAGCCUGAAGAGUCCCGGUCCCAGAGAGCAGUAUGUGCAGAGCACAAGUGAGAACAUGACACACGCGGGAACUGGAAUUAACUGUGACACCGCUGAAUAUAGAGUGCAGGGAAGCAGGUGCUGAAAGGUGGAGAUGAAGGGCCUUAUUUGACAGGCUCAGGAGUCUGGUGGCAGAUUGGAAGGCAGUAGGGAGUGACUGAAAGACAAGCCCGAGUGUGAUCAGAUGGGAUUAAGCGCAUCACAGUCCCCCUGACAGCCCUGUGGGGAGUGGGCAGAGGGAGAUGAGACAAGAGCAAAGUCAGGACCCCCGUGGUCCCAGACCUCCCUGUAGAGGCGACAACACUGUGGGACAGGGCACAGGAACUGGCUGCAGUGAAUUAAGGGCCUUGGGGGGAGGGGGAAGGGGGAGAGACAGAGGGACUUGAUGGUGGUAAGCACCACUUCUGAGAGGAUUAUUUAUAAAGACAACGCCAGCAUUGUCGUCAUAAAUAAACACCUUACUGAACUCAUGUUAUAAUUUGGUAAUUUAAAGAACGAGCAAUUUUACACCGGCAGAGCUAUGAGUGUUUAAAUCAUUAGGUGAAAUUAGAAAACGAUGCCUAUCAAUUUCAUAAAAUUCCAUAAUGUUCUGAGAUGUCUACAGUCUUUCCCCAUAGUUCAUGCUCUGACCUUGUUUUUGUUUCUGUCAACCACCCGUUCUAAGUUACGCACACCAGCCAGUCCUCAAGCUUGUGUUUCAUCACUGCCCAGCACAUAGCACUGGCAGCAUUUGCCUUCUCUGUGCUGAUGUACACGGACUAUCCUGAUGGAACAGCCCAUCUUUAGUAUUCUCAGUAUUAGCGGUUUUUCAUUACAGUCCAGUUGACUAUUGAUGCAACCAUUAUUUAUAAAUGGAAAAACAAAACAAAAAGAUGACCACCUCCCUAUUGAUGUUUAGGCUCAAUGAAUAUAUGUCUUCUGCCAUUAAAGGUGCUAGGAGUCCAGAUAUGGAAUAAGUGAUGAAAUUGUAUCUACAUUUAUGUUUUUU